rnacentral:rRNA from 1 species
CACGUAGGGGGCAAGCGUUGUCCGGAUUUAUUGGGCGUAAAGAGCUCGUAGGCGGCUCAGUAAGUCAGGCGUGAAACCUCCAGGCUCAACCUGGAGACGCCACCUGAUACUGCUGUGGCUAGAGUCCGGUAGGGGAGCGUGGAAUUCCUGGUGUAGCGGUGAAAUGCGCAGAUAUCAGGAGGAACACCAGCGGCGAAGGCGGCGCUCUGGGCAUUAACUGACGCUGAGGAGCGAAAGCAUGGGGAGCGAACAGG